GAUGAACGCUGGCGGCGUGCCUAAUACAUGCAAGUCGAGCGAACAGAUGAGGAGCUUGCUCCUCUGACGUUAGCGGCGGACGGGUGAGUAACACGUGGAUAACCUACCUAUAAGACUGGGAUAACUUCGGGAAACCGGAGCUAAUACCGGAUAAUAUAUUGAACCGCAUGGUUCAAUAGUGAAAGACGGUUUUGCUGUCACUUAUAGAUGGAUCCGCGCCGCAUUAGCUAGUUGGUAAGGUAACGGCUUACCAAGGCAACGAUGCGUAGCCGACCUGAGAGGGUGAUCGGCCACACUGGAACUGAGACACGGUCCAGACUCCUACGGUAGGCAGCAGUAGGGAAUCUUCCGCAAUGGGCGAAAGCUUGACGGAGCAACGCCGCGUGAGUGAUGAAGGUCUUCGGAUCGUAAAACUCUGUUAUUAGGGAAGAACAAAUGUGUAAGUAACUAUGCACGUCUUGACGGUACCUAAUCAGAAAGCCACGGCUAACUACGUG
rnacentral:rRNA from 1 species